rnacentral:tRNA from 1 species
GUGAGUGUAGCUCAAUCGGCAGAGCACCAGGAUGUGGCCCUGGGGGUCGCGGGUUCAAUCCCCGUCACUCACCCCA